CCGCAGCCCGCUCCAGUCGCGGCAGGCGGGAAGAGGCGGUGGCGCCGUCCCCACGGGGCGGGCCCGCUCGGGGCCUGGUGACACCAGGGCAGCGCAGGCAGGAUGCGCAUCUCCUGCAAAACUGCUUGCUCCAGUUCCUAAAUUGCUACAGCCCCUUUGCUACACUGUAAAAUGACCAGAGAGCCUGUCAAGAUCCCAGAACUGGGACAGGUGUUCCUCUCAUCUUCCUGGCACCUACACCUGUGAAAAAAAAUUCCUGCUUUGAAGGACACUGCGUUGUUAAUAGGCCAACAUGGCUUUUUGAGGAAGGCUUUGCAUUUAUUCCUGAAUGAAAUCAAACUGCAGAAUCAUCAAUAAAGUACAUGCAAAGUUGAUAAUCUGUAUGUAUAAACAUGUAAAAACAGAUUUCCUUCAAUAAAAUAUUCUCUUACAAAAUUUGCUUUAUCCUGCUUUUUGACAUGUAACAUUUAUUUCAGUCUUUAUGUAAGUAAACCAAC